GCAAGGUGAGCGAAGUGGGCCUAUUGACGGAUUCAAAUAUAAAAAGAAUGAUGAUGGUACAAGGUUAUUUGCAAGAUUUGUAACAAGGAGUUUCAAUUUCACCGGAGCUGUUCAAGCUUGAGGUACCAUGUCAACGCCAAACGUGUUUGCUGGGCCGUCAGGUUAUGCAAGUCGUUUGCGUCAGACCACGCUGAAUGUUCGCAGGCCAUUAACAAAAUCAACCUCAGAUAAUUUGACCAACACAAUAGCAAAAUGGAUUGCAAAGGAUUGUAGACCCAUUAUCAUUGUAGAAGACUCAGGUUUCCUUGAUGUUUUGCAAGUGGCGUCUCAAGACUCAUCCUAUAAGCCACCGUCAAGAGCCACAGUUAUGACGAAAAUCCACCAGCUCUAUGAAAACGAAAAAGAAAAAAGGAAAGAGCUCAAGUCUUGGCUCAAGUAAAUCAUAUCGCCCUGACAGGAGACCAUUGGACAUCAGUGAGUAACAACAAUUACCUCGGAGUAACUGCACAUUUCAUCAGUGACACGUGGGAACUGAAGUCUUUUGCGCUGACUAUAUUAAAAACUGAGGAGCGUCAUUUAGGCUUGUAAAGAACAGUUCCUGUCUGUUGCACGUAAGUGGGACAUCGAGGGCAAGACGACAACCAUUGGGACUGACAGUGCACGUAACAUGGUUGCCGCAAUUCGACUUACACGCUAUGAACACAUGAAGUGUGUCGCUCACAUGGUGCAGAGAAGUGUCACAGAGAGUCUUGCUGACAGCGGCUUUGUAAAUGCUUUGGCCAAGGCUUGCAAAGUUUUCGGUCAUUUUAAGCACAGCCCAGCAAAUGCUGCGGAGCUUCAAGCAUAACAAGUCAGCCUGGGUAAGAAGCAAGAGCCAUUGAUCCAGGAUGUUCCAACACGUUGGAAUUCGACGCUGGAAAUGGUCAAGCGCGUGAGCAGAAAUAAAGAGGUUGUCAUCGCAGCCCUGGACAAUCAGGAGCACAAACUUGUUUCGCCGAUCGCAGCAGAGUGGGAUAAACUGCAGAGGCUGGAGACACUUCUAGAGCCAUGCAGGUAUGUAACUGAGCUCCUGGGUGGAGAGGCCCAUGUCUCCUGUUCUGUGGUACUACCUUCUCUCUGCCACUUGCGUCUCAAGAUGGAAGCCUGUGAUGAGGACCCUGCAUAUGUGGUGAGAUUCAAGACCAAGUUCAAGGAGGACCUAGCAUCCCGUCAAGAACAGCUCAACAAUGCAUGGCUCCAGAUUGCUACAGUUUUGGAUCCUUGUUUCAAAGACUUGAAAUGCCUGCCCGAGACAGACAGGGAAGAGGUGUGGACCACACUUGAAGGGAUGCUGCAACAAAGAAUCACCCAGAAGGUCUUCACAGACACAUGAUGAUGGGCCACCCAGCCUUCUGCAAAUGGGCUCAGAUUCAGAAUCAGAAGAGGAAGAGGUCCAACCUGCCAUACAGAGGUACAGAGCAGAGCCCACCAUUAAAUUGGAGGAUUGCCCCUUGAGGUGGUGGGCAUCUCAUUCAGGAGCCCAUGAGAAGCUGGCCUCACUAGCUCACAAAUAUCUAGCAACUCCUGCAACCACUGUUCCCUGUGAACGACUUUUCUCAGUUGCAGGUCACAUUGUGAACAAGAAAAGGUCAGCUUUACUUUCAAAAAAUGUGAACAAGUUAGUUUGCCUCAGCAACUGCCUGAAAGAUGAUGAAGCUCAGUAGAUUUGAAAGGUGACGUUCAAACAAAAAGACCAGUUUCAGUGCAACAUGUUAUAGUAGUUAGCAACUGGAUUUUUGAGCAACUGGAUUAAAGAAUGGAGGAAAAGGUAAAAGAUUGUUCUUUGGUUUGAUUUAAAAGUUUUAUUGAAAAUGUUUUUUUCCACAUAAAAACUCAACAGAUGACUCAAAUUGUGCAAAAAUGUGGUAGGCCACUGUUAUGAUUUGAC
rnacentral:lncRNA from 1 species